UGGGGAAUUUUUGACAAUGGGGGAAACCCUGAUCCAGCCAUCCCGCGUGUGCGAUGAAGGCCUUCGGGUUGUAAAGCACUUUUGGCAGGAAAGAAACGUCAUGGGUUAAUACCCCGUGAAACUGACGGUACCUGCAGACUAAGCACCGGCUAACUACGUGCCAGCAGCCGCGGUAAUACGUAGGGUGCAAGCGUUAAUCGGAAUUACUGGGCGUAAAGCGUGCGCAGGCGGUUCGGAAAGAAAGAUGUGAAAUCCCAGAGCUCAACUUUGGAACUGCAUUUUUAACUACCGGGCUAGAGUGUGGCAGAGGGAGGUGGAAUUCCGCGUGUAGCAGUGAAAUGCGUAGAUAUGCGGAGGAACACCGAUGGCGAAGGCAGCCUCCUGGGAUAACACUGACGCUCAUGCACGAAAGCGUGGGGAGCAAACAGG
rnacentral:rRNA from 1 species